rnacentral:lncRNA from 1 species
GCCCCGUGGGGGCUCCGGUUCUUCUCCUCCAUCCUCCUCCAGGCUCCGCCCACCUGCUCCGUCUGCCUCCCAGGGCCUCGUGAAUCCCAGGGAAGCCAUGAGCUGCCACAUCACGCCCGGAAGGAAGCGGGCUGCGUUGGAGGGCUUCCGGCCCCAGCAGUUCUCGGACCUGGGGUAGUUUCCUCCCCGCAAGUAACAAAGGAGGACAAGCCCCAGCUUCUCUAAGAUGCCUUCAGCUGCCUGGAAGAGGCCUGUGGAAGGCCCUGCAACUCUCCGCAGACCUCUGGGCAUUGCUGCUGCUUCUCAGUGCCCCUCGUCCCCUCAGCCAGGGUCAGAGCUCUCCAGGGAACAAUGAAACCCUAAGGAAGAGCAGACCACUUCACAGCCACGUGUGUCCUACCCCACUCUGCUGCAUCCCUAGUUAGACUUCCAUUCCAGGAACUGUCUCAGCUGUUGGUAAUGACAUGCCGACUCCAUCUGCAGAGGAAAAUCAAUGUCUUACAAUGAAGCACCUGCCAUCCACUCUCCUAGGAACCUCUGCCCCUUAUAGAAUAUUCAUGCAGCCCUUUUUUGUAAUCUCGGUCUGAGUUUCAAAAGAUUCCCUAGCAGGAAGACCAUUUAACAGAUAGACCAUUUUACAACGCAAACACUGAAAAUUCCGCAGGAGAAAAGAGGCACUGGUUUUUGAAAACCGUGCUCUGUCCACAGUCAGACACCAUCUCACAUUUCCAAGUAACCCAAACAGUUCCUUCAGUUAGGUAAAUAUGCCUGGCCAUGUGACCAGGAGCUAAAGGGAAUAAUAGGGAAAACAGAGGGCAGAAAAAAAUGUCAGUGGGCAUAAGACGAAUUUUCUUCUUUUUAAUUUCUCGAUUUUGUGCUUGAUAAAGGGAAAGAGGCCACCAUUAUAAAACAACUUUUACACACUUUUACUUGUGAUUUAGUGCAUGGUGACCUGGAACAUAAAGAAGAUUUAUGAAAGGAAAGACAGAAUCAUAGUA